UUCGGCCAGCCAAGGCCGCGAAUCAACCCCCGUGAGCCGCCGUGCUCCCUCGCCGGAGCCCGCCUGAGCUGCUGCCGCCCAUCCCCGCCAUUCCUCCGCCGAAUCGCCGCCGGAUCCGCCCCCAACCAGCAGCCGCCGGAAGUUGCAGAAAAUGGGUAUGCAGCGGCUUCGUGGCCCGUUUUGGCCGCCUUCCCGAGCCCGGAUGCUCGGCCCGCUUUGAGGAAAGUCGAUCCUCGCGUCGUCCUCGUCGUUUUGGUCCGCUCGGUUCGUUAAUCGGGUGAGUUUAACUCACUAAAUCUUGAUUAGACGGUUAAUUAUGCCCUAAGUGUGCUUAGUCUAAGUUAAGCAAGUUUAGGUGGUUAGAUUAGUUUAUUUGAUUGAUGAUUAGAUUAGGAUGUUUAAUUAAGUUAAAGUAUGUUUAGUUUAAAGUUAAGUGUGUUUAUUUUUAAAAUAAAGUCUUGAUGUGACAUAAUAGGGUUUUAUUUUUGAAUUAUUUAAAGAUUUCGAAUUCUGGAAAUUUAUAAUAUUAUAUUAAUUCCGAAAUUAUUAAAAUAUUAUAAAAAAAAACGGAAAAAUUAUUUUUGACCCCGGUUGCUCAGAAUUUCGUGCCGAUCGCUGCUGUGUGUUCGGAUUUUGAAAUUGAUGGUCGGAUAAUAUAAAUUGAAUGUGGAUUGCGAAAAAUGUGAAUAUUAUUAUUUAAUUAAUUUUCGGAAUUAAUUUAAUUAUUUAUUAAAAUUCGAAAAUUUCGUCGGGACUUUAUACUCUCAGAAUUUCGUGCCGAUCGUUGCUGUGUAUUUAGAAUUUGAAUUUGAUGAUUGAUUGUGGCCAAUUGACUGUUGAUUGGGAUAAAUAAGGAUUUUAUUCAGAAAAACCCAAAUGUCGGGUUUUGAUGCAAAAAUUGGGUUUUAAUGAUUAUAUUAAAUAGUGGGGUUUGAAAAAGUGAGAUAUUGGCUUUUUGAUUCGAAAUUAGCGUGUCCCCACACACGUUAGUUAUUUCUGGAAUAUUUUUAAUAUGAAGAAAAAUGGUCGGGAUCACUAUUGUGAUAACUAUGAGGAAGCGUCCUGGGCUGUUGAGCCGGACUUGCCCCUAUAUGGGAUGCCCACGCGAUGGAUGCCGAUCGCAGUAGAGGCUGGGCCGACUGGAUCGAUGCUCCUUCGGGAAUGCCGUCGACGUACUGACGAAGCCGUGCUCCAUGGGGGGAGACGAUGCUCCUUUGGGAAUGCCGUCGACGUACUGACGAAGCCGCUUUCCAUGGGGGGGAGGCGAUGCCUGGCAUGAGUGUCAGUAGAUAGCCGAACAGCGAGUAGGCUAUGCCCUUGUGCGGCAGUGAAUAACAAUUGGGAUGCAUGUUGAGUGUUGUUGAUGUGUCGGAUUAUGGGACGGAAUUGUGUGGCAUGGAAUGGGACAUGUCAUAACGAUUUAAUCUUAUAAUCAGGACCCCCGUGGUUGUUGGUUAUAUGAAAAAGAAUGCGUUCCGGUUGUUAAGUUCAUAUUACUAUCCGUGUUUGAGUGAUUUGAGACUGUGCUAACCUGCAGGAAAGAAUUGAGGCGAGGUAAGUUCUCUGUGUGAUGUGGCUAGGCCACCCGGGGUGUAUUUUCUUUCUAAUAGGGGUUUAGGGGGUUGAACUUGCUGAGACAUCGUCUCAUCCCGGUUGUGGGAUUAAAAUUUCAGGUCCCUAGAUGGCGGUCGUGGAGGACUCGAAGCCCUAAGUCUGGAAAGGUGGAGAUUAAAGUAUCGGUGAACGUGUCCUGCAUAGUUGGCUUUAGGAUAGUUUCCCCAUUCGUUGAGCUGGUCUAUUUGUAGACAGUC
rnacentral:lncRNA from 1 species